rnacentral:rRNA from 1 species
UACGAAGGGGGCGAGCGUUGUUCGGAUUUACUGGGCGUAAAGGGCGCGCAGGCGGCUCAUCAAGUCAGGCGUGAAAGCCCCGGGCUUAACCUGGGAAUUGCGUCUGGGACUGAUGGGCUAGAGAUCGGGAGAGGUGAGUGGAACUGCGAGUGUAGAGGUGAAAUUCGUAGAUAUUCGCAAGAACACCAGUGGCGAAGGCGGCUCACUGGCCCGAUACUGACGCUGAGGCACGAAAGCGUGGGGAGCAAACAGG